GCACAUGUGGCGGAACUGGCAGACGCGUCAGACUUAGGAUCUGAUUCUUAACGAGUGGGGGUUCGAGUCCCUUCAUGUGCACCA
rnacentral:tRNA from 1 species